UACAGAGGGUGCAAGCGUUAAUCGGAAUUACUGGGCGUAAAGCGUGCGUAGUCGGUUAUCUAAGUCGGGUGUGAAAUCCCCGGGCUCAACCUGGGAAUUGCAUUCGAUACUGGAUAGCUAGAGUUCGGCAGAGGGAAGCGGAAUUUCCGGUGUAGCGGUGAAAUGCGUAGAUAUCGUCAAGAACACCUAUAGCGAAGGCAGCUUACUGGGCUGUAACUGACGCUGAGGCACGAAAGUGUGGGGAUCAAACAGG
rnacentral:rRNA from 1 species